rnacentral:rRNA from 1 species
AACGAACGCUGGCGGCAUGCCUAACACAUGCAAGUCGAACGAGACCUUCGGGUCUAGUGGCGCACGGGUGCGUAACGCGUGGGAACCUGCCCUUAGGUUCGGAAUAACUCCCCGAAAGGGGUGCUAAUACCGGAUAAUGUCUUCGGACCAAAGAUUUAUCGCCUUUGGAUGGGCCCGCGUUGGAUUAGCUAGUUGGUAGGGUAAAAGCCUACCAAGGCGACGAUCCAUAGCUGGUCUGAGAGGAUGAUCAGCCACACUGGGACUGAGACACGGCCCAGACCCCUACGGGAGGCAGCGGUGGGGAAUUUGGGACAAGGGGCGAAAGCCUGAUCCAGAAAUGCCGCGUGAGUGAUUAAGGCCUUGGGGUUUUAAAGCUUUUUUCCCCGGGAUGAUAAUGACAGUACCGGGAGAAUAAGCCCCGGCUAACUCCGU